AAUUUGUGUGCUAUGCCGCUGCAUAACGGCCAUAGGGGAGUUGCUCUGCGAAACCCUUUCCUUCUCCCUCCCUGCCAGUAGUUGCCUUAGUGACAAAACUAAUCGCUGCUGGUGCCCCUGCUCCUGUGAACAGGAGAAAAACAAAACCAUUUUUAUUGCUGUUCCAGCAAUCCUCUGCAAGUCCAACCUCAAGACGAAAUGUGCUGAUUAAAAGAUACGCUGCAGGUACUGGAGGAACACAAUGAAAAGGCAGAGUGCAGUGAAUGAAUCUUGUCUCUCAGCAGUGCUAUUUGAAGAACUUCUUGAAGCCAGUGGAUUUGUGUUUGGAGGGGAGGAAUUGAAUCUCCAAUCAAGCAGUUUUCAGACCAACUCACAGGAUACUUAAAAUUACAAUUUACCACUGCCUAUGUAAUCCAGGAUGGACAAGGUGAUGGCUUUUCUGGAAUAAUUGAAACAUCUCUUAUCUGUAUAAAAUGUUCCCCAUCAUUACUUCACAGUGGAGCAUAACUGGGCUACUUGAAAGGAACUACCACUAAGAUGCAGGUUUUUGGGACACCCAGGAAAGAAAAAAUGAAAGUGAAUAAUAGGAAAAAUAAAAAAUAAAAAGUCAGACUUGGAGAUUUCUGCUCUUUCCACUGAACUUCUCUUUGCAUGAGUCAGAGGAAGGUGUGAAAUUAUAAGAAGAUCACCCUGUGAAGAUCUAUGAAAAUCUAGUCAGAUAAUCAACUGAGACUGAAGAAUGAUUCUUCUCAACCUGAAGUGCACAUCUAAAAUAGAUCAGACAGUCAAACCUCAGAAUUGCUGGCUGUUAAGUGAGGUCAGCACGACUAGCUUUGUAGCAGAAGUUCACUACAGAUGUCUAAAGCCAGAUGAGAAGUAUCACCUCAUUAAUCAAUUCAAGCACAGUAUGAAUGUAGUAAAGGACCAGCACACCAGCAAAGGCAGCUAUACAAAAGCUCUUCUGUGUGUUGAUAGGCAGUAGAGGUGCCAGUGAUAAAUUGGGCUGCACGUGGAACAAGAUUAAAAGUAUUAAGUUGGAGUGCAUUGCCUUGUACAUGAAUUUACUGAGUAGCUUCAAAGGGAAUGUAUGUUCAGUUAUGAUGGUUUGAGGGGAAAAAAAUUUUGUCAUUUUGUAUUGUCACAAAGGAAGACAUUCUACGUAAGUGCUAGAAGAUAAGGGAAAUCAUGGAAAACCUGAAGGAUUCAGAAAGACUUGGAUUGUUAGCAUUUGGAAGGAGACAAAGAAAUAUAGCAAUAAAAGCUGGGUUCACUGUGGUUGUAUGCUUGUUUUGUCACAGAUGUUCAGGGCACAAACUACCCUAACAAUGGCAUCCCUAAACUUGGUGUCCAGAUCUGAGAUAGUCACCUUGGGCUGCAAUAGAAGGGAAAAUGAUUAUUCUAUACUUACCAUUAGCAAGUGAUAUUCUUCCAUGUCUUGGAAAGCAGGGUCUCAAUGGACAUAGCAGCCAUUUGGGAGGACAGACAAGUUGAAAAGUGGUACAGGGGGUCUGCUUCUCCUCUCACUGUAGAAAUGAGCUAUGGACCUCACUGUUGCAUCAAUUGACUGACACUGCUCCAAGAUGAGUAAGAUUCAAAGAGAAACAGUGAUUACAUGGCUGAAAAGAAUAUCCAGAUAUAGCACAAAAGAUAAAAUUACACAGGAAGGCUAUAAAAUCUUCAGAUUUGAAAAGAUCAAGAUAUCCUUUAUUUUUUGUUGCUCAGAAGAGAUAAUCUGGGUUACAGACUGUAACGUCUGCUUAUUACAAACCAUUUUACACUUUUCGCCAGUCAAUGUUCUUUCUCAGGAAAGAAGUCCCUAGGCUAUUUCUCUGAUCCUAUAUGGACAUUUUUAUGUUGCUAGAGAAGAUGGAAGUCUCCAUUUGUGUUUAACAUGGGAUUUCCUCUUCUAGAUGGAAAUCAUCCAGUCUCAUUGAUUAAGUGCAAUUUCCACACACUUCAGUACAGCUCUGCAGGAUUUAAUGACUGCACCCAGCUGAGCAAUAUUCUCUGGAUUUGAUUCACUAUACAUAUUAAUUUUAGAGCCUGUCUCAAAUAACCUUCAUUGAUUUCUUCAUCAUAUAUACAAGUCUAACCUUGUUUGACUGGUUGCUUGAAAUGCAGUGCCAUUAUUCAGUGGAACAGGAAUUAAGACAGGCUGAUGUGGCUGAACAGAAUUAACGGUUUAAAAAAGUUGUCUGUCUGUGCUGAUGCAUUUGAGAAGAAAAGUGAUGGGGAUUCUGAGCACAGCGAGACCUGCAAGGUGCUUUGUAAAGCAAGUUACUUUCAAGAGAGAAAAAAAAAAACCAAAAACUGUCUGAAUGGUACAUUAGGCAUGAUCUGAUAAUAACCCCAAAAAUGUCUAGAAUGGAUACAAAUUGCAAAUCCACAGCUGUGACAAUGCAACUAUGGAUUUCUGGCCUCAUAGAUUUAGAGGAGCAAUAACUGCCAUUGCCAAACUAGUUAAAAGCAACGGCUGAAAGCGUGUAAGUUAGAC
ensembl:lncRNA